rnacentral:rRNA from 1 species
UACGUAGGGUGCAAGCGUUGUCCGGAAUUAUUGGGCGUAAAGAGCUCGUAGGCGGUUCGUUGCGUCGGCUGUGAAAUCCCGAGGCUCAACCUCGGGUCUGCAGUCGAUACGGGCGGACUGGAGUUCGGCAGGGGAGACUGGAAUUCCUGGUGUAGCGGUGAAAUGCGCAGAUAUCAGGAGGAACACCGGUGGCGAAGGCGGGUCUCUGGGCCGAUACUGACGCUGAGGAGCGAAAGCGUGGGGAGCGAACAGG